GGAAACGGGCAGUGUGACCACAGGCCCCGGCCGAGGAGGCCCCGGUUCUCGGCGCUGACGCCCAAGCCUGAAAACCCUUCUUCCUCGGGCGCCUUCCUGACUAGGUUGGCAGGUGGUCGUUUUACGGAGGAGGAGGGCACAGAAAUUCAAGGAGUUCUCUCCAGAUAAGCCUUGCUGCGGACAAAGGAGCUGGAACCCCUUCAGGUCUAAACACCUAGGGCUCUAGAUCUAAACCCGGGGACGUGCCGGCACAUUCCUGGCUCUGGAGAUGAAGCCAGCACAGUCUCUGCCCUCACAUGCUGCAUCGCAGGCAGCGAGGAGAUAAACACACAGACACACCCCAGUGAGCAGGGCUAUCAAGUGGAUAAAGGGACAGGAGACCCACGGGUGCUACUUGAGAUGGAGCAGUCGGGGUCAGGCUCUUGACGUAGCCUGUUUUGAAGAGUCAACCCCAGGGGAGCCCCACCCAGCAGGGAGGCCACAGCCUUUUCUGAAAAAGACGUGUUUUCCCUCCUGGCCAAAUAAGGGGAGGGCGAGGGCGGGGCUGAUCCUAAACCAGUCUUUUAGCCAGCAGUCAGCAGCUCGGUGGUCACUGCCACCUGCCUCCCCUGAGCAUAGGCCCAUCAGUCACCAGCUCAGGCCACCUGGGACCUCAGCGGGUGCCCAGUCUCUCCUCCAGGCUGUGCAGAAGCCCAAAGGGGAAGGGGCUGCCUCUGCAAUGUGCUGACCCACCAGGCACUCUGGACCGUCAUCUCCUGCCCAGGUCGCGGAGCCCCCAGGGCUGCUCCCCAAACAUCUCCCAGCGCUGGCCCACCUCAGUGCAGCAUCUGUCCAUCCCCGGCCGAAAGGGGAAGCGGGAAAAUAAAAAUAAACUUAAGCAGAGAGAAUUUCAUCUAGAUAUUCAGUUGAGAAGGAAGGGAAAACAACUAAAAACAACUGAGAUGCGCAAAAACUCCAGGAAAGAAAAGACAAAGAAACGAGUACGGACCCAGGGCCCUGUCUGGGGGCCUCAGACCACUGGCAGGAACCUACCCACUGAGCAGCACUCUCUCCAUCCUCCAGGCCCUGCCUGCCUUCCUGGCAGGAGCGAGGCGUGGGGCUCUCGGCCGACAUCAGGGACGUCCGCUCGUCACACACUUCUUCCUCGCUGUCAGAGGCCAUGAAAGUGAGCAUGGCCCCUCCUCCGAAAGUGCCUGGAAAAGGAGCACAGCGGACUCUGUUCCACUUUCCUACAAGGCAAAGGCAGAGGAGGGUGAGAGGCAGCUUUAAGACCUGGACUCAGGUCCUGCCCAAACUGACCACCUAGGACACAAGUGUCAAAGGGCUGCUAUAAAGCCACGGUCCCCAGGGGCCACCACAGAGGCUGUAGCAGCCUCAAGAGGGACUGGCCAGAGGAGAUCCAGUCCAUGGGGCAAAACUCCCAACCAAAAAUGUCCUGGCCACUCCAGACUGUCAGUACACUCACUUAUUGAAUCAACAAACACCCGUUCAGUACCCAUAAUGUGCCAACACUUUUGUCCUAAAACCAAUAAAAACCAGCUAUCCAAUGUGACAAAUGAUA